AAAAAAGCUCCUCAUUCCCACACCAACGCGUUCCCCUUUACCUCGCCGCCGGCGCCGCCGCGCCGCCAUGCUCUGCCUCCGCCUCCGCCUCCGAUGUCGCGCCCUCUCCCAGCUCCUCUCAUCGUCCCCCUCCGCCUCUCCCAUCUCCCACCUCCUCGGCUACCACAGCCGCCUCCUCUCAGCGGCCGCGCCCGUCGUCUCCCCGAACCCUAGCUUCGCCGUCGAGGAGUACCUCGUCUCCACCUGCGGCCUCGCCCGAGCGCAGGCCGUCAAGGCCUCCGCCAAGCUCUCCCACCUCAAGUCCCCCUCCAACCCCGACGCCGUCCUCGCCUUCCUCGCCGGCCUCGGCCUCUCCGGCGCCGAUGUGGCCGCCCUGGUCGCCAGGAACCCCCAGGUGCUCUGCGCCGGCGUGGAGAGGACCCUGGCCCCCAACGUCGCCGCGCUCACCGGCCUCGGCCUCUCGCGCUCCGACAUCGCGCGCCUCGUCUCGGUUGCCGGCAACCACUUCUGCUGUAGAUCCAUCGUCGCCAAUAUACAGUACUGCCUGUGCCUGCUCGGGUCCUACGAGAAUCUCCUCUCUGCUAUCAAGCGCAAUUUCUACAUUCUCUCGUCCGACCUUGAGAGAGUGAUCAAGCCCAAUGUCGCAGUCCUGCGAGAGUUUGGGCUUGGUCCUUGUGAUAUUGCCAAGCUGUGUGCCUCUCAGCCAUGGUUGCUCACCUGCAACGUAGAGUGUAUCCGGGUGAUGGCGGUGAGCGUCCAAGGUCUGGGUGUGCCCCGUGGAUCUGGGAUGUUUAGGCAUGCGCUGGAUGCUGUUGCAUUCGUCAGCGAGGAGAAAAUCGCCGCCAAAGUGGAGCACCUGAAGAAAACAUUCAGGUGGUCGGAUGCUGAGGUGGGCAUUGCUGUUUGUAAGGCUCCACAGGUACUGCACAGGUCCAAGGAAUCGCUGCAGAGAAGGUCAGAGUUCCUCAUCUCCGAUUUGGGGUUGGAACCCGCAUACAUUGCUCGUCGCUCGGUGAUGCUCUUGUACAGCCUGGAGGGCCGGCUAAGGCCCCGGAGCUACGUCGUUAAGUUUCUUAAGGCAAACGGAUUGCUAGAUCCCGACCGGGACUUGUAUACCGCAGUCACACUGAGUGAGAAGGUAUUCAUGGAGAAGUUCAUAUGCCCUCACAAGGAAGCUGCACCCCACCUUGCUGAAGAUUAUGCAGCAGCUUGCAGAGGGGAAUUGAUGGCUAAUUUCAGAUUUACAUGAAGCAAGGCUGGGUUUUAUGAAAAUCGGUAACUGUGUAUGGCAUGACAGAGUUUGUAGCAUUCCUAGCUGUACUUGUUGAACAGGGGAUGUUUACAUGGAGAUAUUGGUUUAGUCUAAUCCACCCAAACGCGGUCUUCAAUUUACUGAAUUUAGGUGUUGCUUUCUUUCUACCGGGAGAAGAUGUUGGAUGCAUGCAGACGCGAACCGCCUGAAUGAUGAUGCAGAGGAUCGGCUUCGCUCCGGAGCGCACGCACUGCAAACGCAUGCUGCAGUCAGAUUCCAAUGUCAUUGAUCUCUGCAAUGGGAUUUUUUGUGGGAAUCCAUUGACAUCAUUCAUCGCUACAUUGAAGACAAAUCACUCGCCGACUCAGCAGCACUGCGUUGCUCCCCUUUUAUUCUUUCUUCUGAUUGUUGUGGUUGCUCACAAAGUUAUCUUUCAGAUUAUUUCUUUCAGUGCAACCCGGAGUAGAUUAAUUAAUUUGGAGUGUGUGGUCUGUGAUGGGCUCAACUCUUACUCUUGGUGCUGUAAAACAAUCUUGUUCCACCCAGCAUUUCUUGGUCUGUGGCGGGCUCAAAUCUUGAGCCUCUUUUUCAUCUGAAAGACACCCAGCAUUUCAGAAGAUACAUACACCUACAGUUUCAGCAGUGAAGUUCUGUUUCCAAUUGCAAUAAGGUUGGUUACUUAUCAGCUGAGUGCAGCAGUGGAGAUUGACCGGUGUUGAAUUCGCCGCGGGCUCCGUGACCUCGACCUCGACCGGACCGACGGACGGACGGAAGGCGCUUUGAAAUCGUUGCUCUGGCGCUGUAUAUAUAUUACAUGCAGUCCUAUGUUUUUUUUUUAUUUCUACCUUUAUUUGGGUGAGCAUCAUCAGAGUUAAUAAGUGGCUGAUUAUGCACCAUCACCAUGCCUCAAGCCCACUUGGCAAGAAAUGAAAAGGAAGGAAAGAGCUCUUGUUUAAUUCGCUGCUAAUGCCUAAUGAAAUUGAUA